rnacentral:rRNA from 1 species
AACGAACGCUGGCGGCAUGCCUAACACAUGCAAGUCGAACGAGACCUUCGGGUCUAGUGGCGCACGGGUGCGUAACGCGUGGGAACCUGCCCUUAGGUUCGGAAUAACUCCCCGAAAGGGGUGCUAAUACCGGAUAAUUUCUUCGGACCAAAGAUUUAUCGCCUUUGGAUGGGCCCGCGUUGGAUUAGCUAGUUGGUAGUGUAAAAGCCUACCAAGGCGACGAUCCAUAGCUGGUCUGAGAGGAUGAUCAGCCACACUGGGACUGAGACACGGCCCAGACUCCUACGGGAGGCAGCAGUGGGGAAUAUUGGACAAUGGGCGAAAGCCUGAUCCAGCAAUGCCGCGUGAGUGAUGAAGGCCUUAGGGUUGUAAAGCUCUUUUACCCGGGAUGAUAAUGACAGUACCGGGAGAAUAAGCUCCGGCUAACUCCGUG